rnacentral:tmRNA from 1 species
GGGGGCGACCGGCUUCGACGUGGGUGGCGAAACUCCAGGUGCAUGCGGAGUUGUAAGUAACUCCUUAAACUGCUUACAAACUUAUAGUUGCAAACGACGACAACUACGCUCUGGCGGCUUAAUCCCGCCUAACCUCCGCCUGGUAUGUGCUUGUGCAUCCAGAUUGGGGGACGCGCUCACAAGCUCGCGAAUCGGUGUGCUACAGGCCGCUUCGUCAAAACGCUCUGUCGCUGGUCAUGCGUCUUCCCUGCCCUUCGGGUAGCGCACGGCGAGAAUCAAUGAAUGGGCUAAGCAUGUAGGUCUUGUAGCGUAGUGCUUGCGGACGCGGGUUCGAUUCCCGCCGCCUCCACCA